UUUUGUUGUUUGCUUCGUUCGUCUUUGGCGUUUUUUUUUUUUUCCUUCCCGAUUUCGGAUUUAUUUCAAGGCGAAUCUGGCUUUGGGGGAAGAGGAAGAAAAGUCGGAUUACAAGAUCAACCACCAACAACAACAAUAAAAACCACCAGGAUAUUUUUUUGUAAAUUUCUGACGGCUUUAAAUUCAUGAAGCAAUUGUCCCCUUUUACAAUCAGCAUUUGGAUCUCAGAAUGAGCAAGGAAAGACCCAAGAGGAAUAUCAUUCAGAAGAAAUACGCACAGUGAAAAAUAUGGUAGGAUUGCCUCAGCAAGACAGAAACAGUGAUUUACAUGGGAAACACCAGCAUGGUAAGCCCAGCAGCUUCUGCUUUUAUGUGGAUCCAUAGCCAGUGAAAACUGGAUGAAAAAUACAGGCAACAGUCCUGGAGGCUUGUGGAGAGACUGGGGAAAAUACACUGAUGUUGUAAUUUUCUUCACAAUUCCAAGACACAGUAUUUAAUAAAGACACAGGUAAGGUCUUGGUAGUAUUCCAAGCUAGGUUUAACCCUGUUUUGUUUCUACCAUGACCAAUUUAAAAGACGAAAACCUUGAGUUUAAUCAAGAGGUUCAUAGAAUGUAUGGAUGAGAAGAGAAAAACAUAUUUUAAGAAACUCUGAUCGUGGUCUAUACUAAUUUGGAUGGGUAGCUGGGGUGAGGGUUUCCUGUCAUGUAAGUGGGUUGAAGUAGGAGGUGAAAUGUUGGCUGUUUAUUAUCAAACAGCUAUAUAAAUAUGAUUUGGAGGUUAUUUUGAAACCUACUGUACUUUAAGCUCAUCUGGCAUUCAUUACAUACAAUGCGGUUCUUAAACAGAUGAAAUUGUAUAGCUAAUGACAUAAAAUGUUUCCUCCUUAUCUAAUCAGGAAUCUUUCUUGAGUAGCUAGAUUAGCUGUUAUUCAGAGAGGGUAAUAUAGGAAAUAAUUACUCUGUGUUUCAUUUGUGGAAUUCACCAUAUGGUCUCUAAGUCACAGAUAUUGUAUAUGAAAAUAAAAUCAGUAAAGAAUAGUCUAUAGUAUUUCAACCAGGGCUACAGAAAGAAUAUGAUAUGUUGGUUUCUUUUAAAACUAGCAUAUGAAAUAGGAUCUGCAAUUUUCAGUAGUUUUGUGGUAUUGGUUCGAUUGCUCAUCUGGUUUGGGGGGUUUUUAUGAAAUUGUAGAAUGUAAAUUUGGGAACAGGAGGCAGUGUAUCAUAAUAAAACUCAUUCUAGAUCAUUCAAGAGCAGAGUGAAAAAGCCAGAAACUCACAAAAGUAACUGCUUUUCUGCAAGGAUUCUACAUUUUGAUUUUCUGAAUGCUACCUGCUAUAAAAGACCUGACCUUUGCCAAUUUAUAUUGAGUUUUGUUAACAAGAAUACCACAGAUACAGUCAUUUUUUAAUGAGGAAAAAGGGCUUGGCCUUGUUUUUAUGUCCAGAAGAAAGAAAUUCAUUAGCACCCUUCUCCCUCGUGCUCCCUGUCAUCCAUGCUGGGUACAGAACCCAGGUCUUUGCUAAGAUCUGCUCUACUACUGAGCUACAUUCCCUGCUCUCUCUCCCUCUCCCCCCUCCCCCCCCCGCCCCAAGAUAAAAUUCUUGAUAGUUGUGCAUGAAU